GGGAUAGCUCAGUCGGCAGAGCAUGAGACUCUAAAUAUCAGGGUUGUGGGUUUGAGCCCCAUCUUGGGACU